rnacentral:lncRNA from 1 species
UGCCACGUGAGAGCGAGCGAGCAAGCGAGGGAGGGCAGCGAAAAAAAGAAAAACGAAAAAAGAAAAAAGAAAAAAGAGGGGGAAGCAAAAGCAACUCUGCGAGGUGAUCCUAAUCCUGAUUAAUUAUUAAUAUUAUUUUUAUUAUUAUUAUAUUUUUGGCAGAAGUCUCGACCGCACCGCGGCGAUCUACAGCUAGCAGACUAGAAAAGGAAGGCCCGAAAGUCGGUUGAUGCAACCGCCGUCCCUGCUUUCUCUCGCCAUUGACUCGGCCGCCCUCCACAUCUCCGCCAUCCCCGAUCUCUCCGCCAUCCCCGAUCUCAUCCUCAUCGACCUCUUCCUGGUACCCAUCCAGCCAACAUCCAAAACAUUAAUUGCAAUCAUAAUAAUAAUCAUCAUACUGCAGAUCUCUUUUUUCUCUCAAUCUUUUUGUGGGAUGCUAAUUUUCAAUGAGAGUUGCUGCACUUGGGUAAUUCAAGGAUCUUCUAUCUUGCCCUAGAAAGAUAAAUUAUUUAAAGGCAUCAGUUGAAUCUUGUUGUUUGAUUUAGGGUUUUAAGUAAUGCUGUGAUGCUAUGAAUUGUUUCGAUUGUGCCUUCAUGAAUUUGUUAUUUGUUGUUUACUUGACCCAUCUCAAAGAUCCCUUUCUUUUUUUUACUUGGAACUUGUACUUAGUUCUCGAUGUUCGAAUUUGUAGAUCUCUUUGCAUCCACCAAAUGCAGACUUUGACUUUCGCAAUGUGCUUCUAUCUACGGCGCACAUCGCAACUCUUAGUGCAGGUUACAGCUAAUGCUGUUUGUUUUGAGUACCACAAAAUGCGCAUAAGAUGUUACUUGGUAUCGAAGUUACAGAGCUGCGACGUUCGGCUUUGAUUAUGUUAGAGAUCCGAACAUAGGCAAUCAUGACCUUGAGUUCAGGGGUUCCCUUCAAGGUGUUAUAUCUAAGUGGCUUGUGCUCCUUAAGCCUCCGUUAGUUUUACAUGUGUAAAAUCUCGUCAUUUAUGAUUGCACCAUCUCGAAUUCUUUGCCAUAUACNNN